rnacentral:rRNA from 1 species
GAGUAAUGCCUAGGAAAUUGCCCUGAUGUGGGGGAUAACCAUUGGAAACGAUGGCUAAUACCGCAUGAUGCCUACGGGCCAAAGAGGGGGACCUUCGGGCCUCUCGCGUCAGGAUAUGCCUAGGUGGGAUUAGCUAGUUGGUGAGGUAAGGGCUCACCAAGGCGACGAUCCCUAGCUGGUCUGAGAGGAUGAUCAGCCACACUGGAACUGAGACACGGUCCAGACUCCUACGGGAGGCAGCAGUGGGGAAUAUUGCACAAUGGGCGCAAGCCUGAUGCAGCCAUGCCGCGUGUGUGAAGAAGGCCUUCGGGUUGUAAAGCACUUUCAGUCGUGAGGAAGGCGGUGUAGUUAAUAGCUGCAUCG